CGGGACCGCUCGGCGGCCGCCAGCGCGGGCGGAGCCGCCGCCUGGACACAGGGCGGGGCGCGGGGCCUGACCCUCAGGGCGACCGCAGCCCGGGCCGGCGCGGGGGGCGAGCAGCCGGGCGUGGGCGCCCCGACUCUCGCCCUGCCACCCGGGAACCCCGGACACGCGACCCCGACAGCCCAGGCUCCGGCGCCCGCGAAAGACACAUCGGACCUAUUCCGAAAGACAAUUUGAUGCUGGGCCUGGGGCUGGAGGACAUGAGGCAUCAGGGGACUUGACAGGAGAUCAGUCUGGAAAGCUUAAAACACCAUGACUAACAUAGUUGUUCACUAUGGCAUAUGGCAUAUACCCGCUAAAGAGGAGCAGCGUCAUGGAGUCACCUUUCUGCACAGAAGUCUCUGGGCCUUUCUGUCAUUAUAGCACAAGUCACUGCAAGUAUUCGUGAAUAAGUGUCCAGGAAGAAAAGACUUCCACCAGUCACCCCAGACAAAGGGCUGUCAUGGGGGAGACUGUCUGGUAGCAGGAGGCGGAGGCAGAGGCAGCUCCGGGCAGUUGGCUGUUCCCAGAAGGCCACACGCUGCUCUUGACUUGGCUUCUUCCAGCCCUAUUGCCUGCUGGCUGGCACCUGCCCCCUUGUGUUGUCUGCCCCUCAUCACUGGCAUUCUUCAAGUUUAUACGUGGGACGCCUACCACAGCAUGGCUGCCAAGCAGUGCCGUGUCCGCACCCGGGAUCCGAACCAGCGAACCCCGGGCCGCCGAGAAGCGGAACGUGCGAACUUAACCGCUGCGCCACCGGGCCGGCCCCAUCACCUGGAAAAUUUGAAAGGAGAUUCCUACUACUUUAAAAGUACAUCUCAUUUCUGGAUCUACUCACCAUGAAUUAAUAUCUUUUUAUUAAACCUUAUAUUAUCUCAUGAAAAGUGUGAUCAUAUUGCAUUUUUUGCUACUUUCGUUAAAGGUAUUAAUGUAGACACUGAAAAUACACCACAGAUUUUGUAAUCCUGCUUUAGUGCUUAUUUUUUCAUAUUUAUAUGCCAGGAAGUGGUCCCCCAGCCUCACGUCCUUGGUCUGGUUUUAGGGUCAGCCUGUGGCUAGGCUGCUCUGGGUGGCUCAGAGGUGGAC
rnacentral:lncRNA from 1 species